CAGGAUGGAAAAAGGAACAAAAAAGAAUGGGGUGCACAGAGCCCUCGCAUGCAGUUGGGGUCACCAGCCUGCUUUCCUGAAGUCAUCAUCUUCCAGACCAAGAGGAAGCCUGAAGAAAUAUGUAACAAUCAUACCUAAGGCAAGAAGGUGCUCCUGUGAGAUCGCUUGAUGUCAGCGCCCAAAAUUGCUUCUAUGCACAAGCUUGCUUCCUUUAGGGAGGAAUAGCUUCACCUCCAUUUUCAAAAAUGUGCUUAAUGGGGGAGUUCCAACAAAUUGGAACUCCUAAUUUCUGGCCUAAGAACAAGAAUGCAUAGUCCAACCAGGAUUAUGCCUUGUUUUAUGUCAUUACUUACAUGGAAAAAUUUUGUGAAGGAGUA